ACGGAAGGCAGCAGUGGGGAAUAUUGCACAAUGGGCGAAAGCCUGAUGCAGCGACGCCGCGUGAGUGAAGAAGUAUCUCGGUAUGUAAAGCUCUAUCAGCAGGGAAGAAAAUGACGGUACCUGACUAAGAAGCCCCGGCUAACUACGUGCCAGCAGCCGCGGUAAUACGAAGGGGGCAAGCGUUAUCCGGAUUUACUGGGUGUAAAGGGAGCGUAGACGGUUUGGCAAGUCUGAAGUGAAAUGCGGGGGCUCAACUCCUGAACUGCUUUGGAAACUGUCGAACUAGAGUGCAGGAGAGGUAAGUGGAAUUCCUAGUGUAGCGGUGAAAUGCGUAGAUAUUAGGAGGAACACCAGUGGCGAAGGCGGCUUACUGGACUGUAACUGACGUUGAGGCUCGAAAGCGUGGGGAGCAAACAGGAUUAGAUACCCUGGUA
rnacentral:rRNA from 1 species